rnacentral:rRNA from 1 species
UACAGAGGGUGCGAGCGUUGUCCGGAAUUAUUGGGCGUAAAGGGCUCGUAGGCGGUCUGUUGCGUCGGGAGUGAAAACUCAGGGCUUAACCCUGAGCCUGCUUCCGAUACGGGCAGACUAGAGGUAUGCAGGGGAGAACGGAAUUCCUGGUGUAGCGGUGAAAUGCGCAGAUAUCAGGAAGAACACCCGUGGCGAAGGCGGCUCUCUGGGACGUGACUGACGCUGAGACGCGAAAGCGUGGGGAGCAAACAGG